AUACGGAGGGGGCUAGCGUUGUUCGGAAUUACUGGGCGUAAAGCGCGCGUAGGCGGAUUGAUCAGUCAGGGGUGAAAUCCCGAGGCUUAACCUCGGAACUGCCUUUGAUACUGUCAAUCUUGAGUUCGAGAGAGGUGAGUGGAAUUCCUAGUGUAGAGGUGAAAUUCAUAGAUAUUAGGAAGAACACCAGUGGCGAAGGCGGCUCACUGGCUCGAUUCUGACGCUGAGGUGCGAAAGCGUGGGGAGCAAACAGGAUUAGAAACCCCAGUAGUCC
rnacentral:rRNA from 1 species